UUCCACAGCGAGGUAUCCCUGUUGUAACCCCAAGCUUCCCUUCCAGGUCGCCUGCUGCCUUUGAUCCACAGGGUAGAUCAAAGAUCUCAUCCACGCAAGGUCUCUCCAAGACUGGAGAAAAAGAAGCAGUAAGUGAGAGUGUUCUCGCGAGAGACUGCAGAGCAGUGAGCAGUCAUGGGUGGUUGACGGAGGAGGCUGAGGACCUGGAAACAUUGUGGACAGUGCUCCUUGGCAGGUUGAAUUUCCUUUUUGAACCCAGCUUUCUUGGCGUUGACCCUUAGUUCUCUGGUUUGUUACUGUCCUAGUGAUUGACACAGUAUCUCCUUGUUCUGUUCCACAUGGAGCGACCUCCUUCCUUGAUCCCUACCCCAAAUCGGACCCGUCUCUAGACCCAUUUGCAGGUGACAAAAAUGGAUUCCGGAUGAAUGAAGCAGAAGAGCUUAUGGAGGGAAAAUUAAAGCGCUCAAGAACCACCGAGGCUGCUGGCGAAUCAGGCCGUCUCCUAGGAGACCGGGAGACCAGAGGGAAAUGAUGUGGAGUCACUGCUGGCUGGUGGGUGGCCCAUGGGUCACGGGUCUCCACCACCACCACUGCCCCUGCAGGCUGGUCCUGCCUCCCGUGGGGACCCACACACAUAAGAAGGGGUUCGAGAUCCUAGAAAUAAAAUGACUGCUGGCCACCACAGCUCAUUAGAAUGCUUUGGUAAACGAGGAGCUAUCUUUCUGGAUCUCUCUCUCUCUCUGCCUGUUCUUUCUCCUUCCACUCAAGGCUCUCUAGGAGGAGCUGUCCUGGAUAGAGACCUUUCCCAUUGCUGAUCUGAGUUGUGUUCCUCCGUUGCCUGCUUUCCACUGUCUGCCUCUUAGAAGGAAGAGUGGGUUGCAAUCAAAUUUUUGGAGGGAGCUAUGGUCACUUUGGUUUUAAGCAUUUUGUUGCCUGUGACUUCACUUUUACCUAUUUUAAUCUCUAUGACAACCCUAGGAAGUGGGUAUUGUUAUUCCCACUUUACAGAUGAAAAGUCGAAGCCUUAGGGAGGUUAUGUGAUUCCAAGAUUGCACAUC